UACGUAGGGUGCAAGCGUUAAUCGGAAUUACUGGGCGUAAAGCGUGCGCAGGCGGUUUUGUAAGUCUGUCGUGAAAUCCCCGGGCUCAACCUGGGAAUGGCGAUGGAGACUGCAAGGCUAGAAUCUGGCAGAGGGGGGUAGAAUUCCACGUGUAGCAGUGAAAUGCGUAGAUAUGCGGAGGAACACCGAUGGCGAAGGCAAUCCCCUGGGCCUGCACUGACGCUCAUGCACGAAAGCGUGGGGAGCAAACAGG
rnacentral:rRNA from 1 species